AACAUGGAGAUUGUUUCUUGGACCAAUGGCUGGUGUGAACUUCAUGGAAACAUUCGAUGAAGAGUCAGCCAAAGCAAGACAAAGGACAGGUGAUUAGCUGCUACUGCCUUUGAAUCCUGAAGUAGGCACCUUACAGAUACCCAAAUAAUCUUUUCAAAUGUCUGGCCUGAAUUAUUUUCAUUACUUUUCAUAAUAUAUCUGGGGUAGAAUUGUGGAGAUAAUAUUGUGGACAACCUGCCUAGAAGUCAUGUUCGACCCAAACACUCAACUUUACUUCUCUAAUGCCUCAUCCCAAGGCUCAGCACAGAUGGGAUUUUUCAAAUGAAAACCAGAUGAAAGUAAACAUCAAUCUCACCAUCGAAACUAAAGUAGAGUACCACUGAUCUAGAGGUCUGGUGAAAGCAGCAAGUAAUAGGAUGAAAACAAAAAGCAAGAGAACCAGAUAAGCAGUCAGAACUACAGUGUAUGAAAUAUUUUUUCCAUAUUUAUUUUAUUAAAAUAUCAGUUAUGUCUUCUAUAAUCUGACUCCAGCACUUUUUAAAGUGUCCAUCAGAUAGGAAGGGGUUGUAGAAAUUUUCCACAGGUGACAUCAGGGACUUCAGGACUUCCUCUGUAUAUCGAUGCCUGUAUAUA
rnacentral:lncRNA from 1 species